AAGUCUGCUUAUUAUGAACUUUUGGAUUUACUUGUGUGGAGGGAGUAAAAGACUUUUUUCAAGAUGUCUGUGAAUUUCACCUGUGGAAGUCUCUUUACUUAUGAAGUCUGGACGUAUUUGUAUGAGAGGAAGUUUUAUUGAUUGAGUUCAUCAAACAUUGCAAAUUGAUAGAUUUCAACAUUUAUGUUUUGUUGGAGCUUCUGGAGUCUUGUAAUGCGUAGCGGGUUUGCUAUCUACAGCCUACGGUACCAUGCUAUUUUUUUUCAAA